rnacentral:lncRNA from 1 species
UAUCAAGUCUCUCUGGACAGCCCAUCCAGUAUUGGGGAGCCGGAAGAGGGUAGCGAUUGUCAGUCUUGAUUAGAAGGUUAUCGAAUUUCCAAAACAAUUUGUCCUUGAAGAAUCCUUACCGUCGAUCCAUGUCAUUGCAGCAUCGAUGUGAGAUGGAAUUCCACGCCACCUUCUUAUGUUGUGAGGAUAUCCAGGAUCCAACAUGCGGGAUGUUGCAUUAAAUCUCCAGAAUUUCUCACCCCUGAUCGUGAAACAUGGUUCUCAAACGGUUCGGAGGAGUGAAAUGCUAUUUAUUGACUUACCACUGAAAAGAAUAAUGUUAGCAUCGUCUUCUCUUUGUUUCCCGAGAGGGUACUUCUGUGACUAUGUUUACCUCGGCAUCUUUCUCUGUCGUGACGCGCUCCGUGGUAGUGGUAAUUGGCUCAUUUGCUGCAAAAUCAUCAUCUUCCACAUGUUGAGAAACUAAAAUUGAUACAUACAGUUAAUUUCUAAAUGUACGACAACUGUAUCUGGUGGUAUGGCGAAGUAUGUACGCGCAACAUCUGAUCGUAAGACUGUCUUUGAAAGAGUGGAUUUGCCAACACAACAUGCCGAUGUAUUAGAGAUGCAUUGCAAAAGUGGCCUUAUUCUCCACUGUUCGUCGUCAUCAAAAUGAAGAUCUCCCGCGUAAGACCCCAUCUCGUUGGGGAAGAAGGCAUGGGCCAGGACAUUUCCAGGACCGUCGAAGGCAUACCUUGAUCAUUCGAACAAUAAACAUGACGGAUUUUCGUUACAAGAUCCAAGAUCCGACGACGUAUCGCUUCCUUCGAGUGUUCACUUUUCUAUCAACAUCAGGAAUACCGCAUCGUGGUGAUUUCAUCAACUUGAAAUGAAAAGCAAUAAUUAUGUGGCGCAGAUAUCAAGAAUUGACGACAAAAAGUGAUAUCGCCGCAAUAAAUGGAAUAAAGUGAAACUGAUAAAUUCAGGCUGUAUUGAUAUAUUAUAGUAUCUCUCUAAAAUUUUUAUUCAUUCGUCUGCAAUCAAUAAAAUUAAAGGGUUUACCAAAGAAUGAAACAAUUAUUCUACACAUUGCGUUUUCUAUAGGACCAGAGUGAACGGUAUAAUUCCGACUUAUACGAAUGUAUUAUUUUUUCCAUGAAACGUACUCAUAGUUUUCUGUAAUUAACAACGCUUAUCGGCAAGAGCGGGCUGAUAUACCGACGUAAGGCGAGAGUGCAAGCGUUUCAAGUAUGUCGUGUAUGCAUACAUACAUUUACUGUCUAUGUACAGAGAAUGUCAAAGAACUCUUAACUCGGAGGCGGAUAAAACAGUGAGUAAAUUUAAGUCAAUUUAAAAAAUCUUUGAGCUAGACCGCUUGGCAAAUACUGAUAUUUGCUCCAUGCAGUC